rnacentral:rRNA from 1 species
UACGUAGGGUCCGAGCGUUGUCCGGAAUUAUUGGGCGUAAAGAGCUCGUAGGCGGUUUGUCGCGUCUGCUGUGAAAUCCCGAGGCUCAACCCCGAACUUGCAGUGGGUACGGGCAGACUAGAGUUCGGUAGGGGAGUCUGGAAUUCCUGGUGUAGCGGUGAAAUGCGUAGAUAUCGGGAGGAACACCAGUGGCGAAGGCGGCCUUCUGGACUGACACUGACGCUGAGGCGCGAAAGCCAGGGGAGCGAACAGG